AAUUAACACGUAUUAGAUGCUAAAUAGUAAUUGAAAAAAUUAAAUAAACUUAAAAAAAAUAUUUUUUCAAUUUAAAAUGUGACAUAUUACACAAAGUGUACAUUAAAUUAAAUAUUUUUCCUUGGGUCAGCUGAAAACAAUAAAAAAUGGAAUUCGUCUUAAGAACUGGCUUUCAAAGGAUUACUCAUAAUAUAAAUUUUCAACCACAAACAUUAAUAAAGGGUAAAAAUUUAGUCGCUGCUGAACAUGUGAGAGAUGUUGAAGAACACCGAAAAUUAAAUCUAAGUUAUUUAAUUAAAUCGUGCGUCAUUCGACAAGCAUCGGUCAAUUCAACGCCUUACACAACAUCAUUGAAUAUUAAUGAGACACGACUUGUGACAGAUGUCAAGUGUGAUUGUGUUUACAAUCAGAGCAAGAAAUGUAAACACAUCGCAGCAUUAAUUUAUUACAUUAAUAAUGAGGAGAGUGCAUCAAAAACAAGUCAUGAACAAAAUUUAUACUUGCUAUUUCUACUGGUAUUUUUGCAAUCGACUACACAACAACUUUGAUGAACCAUUUUAUUUUAUUUAUUUAAUUAAACUGACACACGUGUUAUUUUAAUAGCCUUAAGUAAUAAAGAGCCACCCUUAGUUCUGUAUUGUCCGCAGUGCGCGCUGACAUCAGUUUUAUGUCCCCCACUAUGCCUUACGCUCCCAGCGAAUAUGCAAAUACAUGAUUUUCAUACGAUAAGUUGCUUAUUAUUUUAUACUUUGUGGAAAACAAUUAAUAAAAUGGAAGCUUUGCUACAAUCGUGGGAUUUAAGUGAGUUAUACUCGAUUUUUUGUGUAAACCAUAUAACUGACUUUGAAAUCCUUGGUGAAUUCCUUACUAAAACUCGAGAAGAGACCCAAAAAGAAAUAAUCCCUAGUGUUUGUUUACGACUUCGUUUAAAUAAAAAAUAUAAUGAAUAUAUUUCCCAUCACGAGAAGAUUAAUGUAAAACUUUUCUAAAAAUAAUAAGAGGAAUUUUUUAAAUAUUAAUAAUCCAGUG